rnacentral:rRNA from 1 species
CCAGACUCCUACGGGAGGCAGCAGUGGGGAAUAUUGCACAAUGGGGGAAACCCUGAUGCAGCGACGCCGCGUGAGUGAAGAAGUAAUUCGUUACGUAAAGCUCUAUCAGCAGGGAAGAAACACUGACCUUACGGUCAGCAGACGGUACCUGAGUAAGAAGCCCCGGCUAACUACGUGCCAGCAGCCGCGGUAAUACGUAGGGGGCAAGCGUUAUCCGGAUUUACUGGGUGUAAAGGGAGCGUAGACGGCAGCACAAGUCUGGAGUGAAAUCCCGGGGCUUAACCCCGGAACUGCUUUGGAAACUGUGCGGCUGGAGUGCAGGAGGGGUAAGCGGAAUUCCUAGUGUAGCGGUGAAAUGCGUAGAUAUUAGGAGGAACACCGGUGGCGAAGGCGGCUUACUGGACUGUAACUGACGUUGAGGCUCGAAAGCGUGGGGAGCAAACAGGAUUAGAUACCCCAGUA